rnacentral:lncRNA from 1 species
UUUGAACACUGGCAGUAGGUCCAGAACUCACACUUACAUAGUAAUGUUCUGCUGCCUCUAAUUAUCCUCAUUUUAAUGACAUUUUAAUCCUCUGUGAAAACUGAGUCACAGAGCCUUUGUGACAGGUCACAGGUUACACAGUGAAAAAGUGACAAAAUGGUGAUUUGAAUCUGCUUCUGCCUGACUCCAAAUUCUUGGUUUCAUAACUCCAUAUGGCCUUCAGGUAGGAAAAUGUGCUACUUGUACCAGUUGGGACAAAAUUGACCCCCCUUAAAUCCUGUGCAUGGACCCUUCAGGGUCUGCUGUAGAAUUAAUCCACAACAGCAUUUCAGAUUUAUAAGCAGCUUAGGUUGGCUUCAAGUCUAAAUAUAUGCAGUUCUUUUGUUAUUCCUUGCUCUUUAAAAGUUCUACAUUCUGUAGUCUCAUUGUCUCCUUCCAAAAGAGGAAAAUUUGAAGUCGGGUAAACAUCCUUGAGCCCCAAUCAUAUGGAGUGAUCUGAAUGGACCAGAACGAACAGAACUAUAAUAUACCCCUGCUCAUUUAUUCAGUUGGUCAAUUACUUGGAACAUGAAGAAGUAGCCACCUUUAGUGAUUACUAAUCUCUGUUCUACAUCAUCUUCAUCCUCUUUUUUAUUUAUCUUAGGAUUUCUAAUCCAAUUUAACAAUAUUACCGAAUUAGACUCGCAAAUUAAAAUCCACUGCUUGAAAAAAAUAAUAGACACUUUAAAGCUAUGCUGUGCUGUGAUAGUCAGUGAUUUACAAAAACAAAAUCUUAUCUCUCACUCCUGUCAUACGUUGGUGCCCAUCUGUUGGUUCUGGCUCCAUAUGUAUCUUUACUCUGGGAUCAGGCUGAAGGAAUUUCCCCGCUUAACCAUACCACUCUCAUGUCAAAAGAGACUGAUGGCUGGACCAUGCUAUGGCUCUCAAUGCUAAGACGUCGUGUUCUCCAUGUUACGCAUGUUCCAUUGACCAAAGCCUGAUGUCAACAGAGAGGAAAUAUAAUCUGCUUAGUAGGAGACAAUGCAGGUCAUAUGGCAGUGGGCAGAUACAUGUAGAAGAUUUUGCAAAAAUGACUUUAGUAGCAGCAACUUUUUUUAGUUUUCUGAAAUUUUUGCAUAAAAAUAGAACAAAAAAUAGCAAAUCCAAAUAUGCUCCAACAAUUUUACUUGCAAGCAAGAUACCAAGGUAUCCCUGUGAACCCCAAAAUGCAAAUGAAUGGGGACUUACUGCCACCAACCACAAAAUCUGUGUGCCAUUAGCAUCUGUACAGAAGAGGGAAGCAACUGAAUGGGGCUGAGCAAUGAGAACAGAAGAACCUCCGCAAUACUGCAGGUAUUCCCUGGAAAGUGUGGUGACCAAAUGAACUGAAGAAUGCAAGGGCCCACAGUGGGAGGACUGAGGGGUGGGGCCACCUGACUGCUAAGAACAUUCUGAAACUGACCUUCUGAGGUUCCAUUCUAGGACAGGCACCCACACUUGAGAUAAACUUCUGGGAGUGGAAUCAAAAUUUAUGAAGCUAGAAAUAAUAGAGACAAAAGAGAAAGUCUAGACCAAAGAAGGCGAGGGGAGGUUGCGGAACUAGAAAAUCCAAGGAAUCAAGGCUAUGCAUUUUAGUGCACUAUACAGAAACAGAAAGGUACUUAAAAAGUUUGAAAAGCUUUCCUGACCACACCUCUUCUCAAUUCUAAAAGAUCACAAAAAUUUAUUUCUUAUAAAAAUGUACAUCGGCCAGGCACAGUGGCUCACGCCUGUAAUCCCAGCCCUUUGGAAGGCCAAGGUGGGUGGAUCGCCUGAGGUCAGGAGUUCAAGACAAGCCUGGCCAAAAUGGUGAAACCCUGUGUCUACUAAAAAUAAAAAAAUUAGCCAGGCGUGGUGGCAGGCGCCUGUAAUCCCAGCUACUCGGGAGGCUGAGGCAGAUCAUUGCUUGAACCCAGGAGGUGGAGGUUACAGUGAGCCGAGAUGGUGCCACUGCACUCCAGCCUAGGCAACAGAGUGAGACUCUGUCUCAAAAAAAAAAAAUGUACAUCAGGAAAGUACUGAGGUAAAAUCUCAUACAGAGUUACUAUAAUAAUACAAUGAAUAAGUAGCAGAAUAACAUUCCUACGGAGUGAAAAUAUCUGAGGAAGAUAGGCUUACAAUACACCAUAAAACUGUAACUUAUCAUUUGAACAUGAGCUAAAAUACAUUAUGAAAAAAAGACAUGAAAGAAUAACAAAUCAAAAUUAUAAGAACUCUAAUUGACAGAUCUCAGGAAAGAAUUAGAAAUAAAAUUUAAAAAAUUAGAAUGAAGGUAAACUAGAAGAGAAAUUGAACACAAGAUAUAAUGCCUGAAGAGAACUAGAAAGUGAAAAAUAAAAAAUGUUAAAAAUAAAAAGGAAAUUCGUAAAAGAGGGAAAAGGAUUCAAGAGAAGGGGAUAAAUAUUGAGGAGCCAAAGAAGAUCAAAAUGCAAAUAAUUAGAAUGCUUGAAAAAAGAAAAUCAAAACAGGAAGCAAACAAACCAUUAAAAAAAAUAGUUCUCAAAAUUUUUCUGAAAAAAAAAGAAUAAGACAAUAUAUUGAAAGUUGUAACUGAGACUACAGACCCAGAAUGAUCAAAACCAAAAUACAAUCUGAUCAAAUUAUUGGACCUGAAAUAAUCUUUAGGCAUCUCUAAUGAAAGAGCAAAUUACUUUUAAGGGAAUAAAAUUGAAUUAUCAUCAGACUUUUUGACAACAGUGCUUUAUUGCAGAAAAAAAAUGGACUAAUUUAAGACACUCAGGAAAAGAAAAUAUCUUUAAAAUAAACCUGACUUUCAGUAUAAAGGACAAAAGCUGUAUUCAACCUGUAAGCACUUGGGGAAUAUUGCUCCCAUGAGCCUUCUGAGGAAUUUACUUGAGAACAAACAUUAGGAAACCAAAAUGACUAGAGACGUAAUGACAUCAUAUCUGGUGGUGAGUUUUAAAUAUAUCAGUAUUUGUAUAAAUAAGACUAAAUGAGGGUUAUCAGGGAAAGACAAUGUAAUAUCUAUAUGUUCUGAAAAUGCAGAUGUAGCACAACUUUCUACAUAUGAGGGAGAAAUGGAGAUCAUAUACAACAAUCAUUUUAAAUUGUGUUAGUCAUCAUAGGUGAUAUGGUGUUGUUAUUUUGAGACUGUUGCUUGUGUAAUAUGAGAUGAAAUAAAACAAUGCUAUGAAGCAUUCUAAUUUUAUUAUCCCCUGUGUCCUGAGAACCAAACGUUUCAAUGUGAAAGACAGGUAUACAG